AGUGAACGCUGGCGGCGUGCUUAACACAUGCAAGUCGAACGAGAACGGGUUAUAGCUUGCUAUAAUUGUCAGCUAAGUGGCGCACGGGUGAGUAAUGUAUAGGUAAUAUGCCUCUUACUAAGGGAUAACAAAUGGAAACGUUUGCUAAUACCUUAUACUCCUUAUUAACAGAAGUUAAUCAGGGAAAGAUUUAUUGGUAAGAGAUUAGCCUGUAUUGUAUCAGUUAGUUGGUGAGGUAAUGGCUUACCAAGACUAUGACACAUAACUGGUUUGAGAGGAUGAUCAGUCACACUGGAACUGAGACACGGUCCAGACUCCUACGGGAGGCAGCAGUGGUGAAUAUUGCACAAUGGACGAAAGUCUGAUGCAGCAACGCCGCGUGGAGGAUGACACAUUUCGGUGCGUAAACUCCUUUUAUAUGAGAAGAUAAUGACGGUAUUAUAUGAAUAAGCACCGGCUAACUCCGUGCCAGCAGCCGCGGUAA
rnacentral:rRNA from 1 species